GCCAAUCAAACUCGGAGAUAGCUGGUUCUCCCCGAAAGCUAUUUAGGUAGCGCCUCGGACGAAUACUACUGGGGGUAGAGCACUGUUUGGGCUAGGGGGUCAUCCCGACUUACCAACCCCAUGCAAACUCCGAAUACCAGUAAGUAAUAUCCGGGAGACACACGGCGGGUGCUAACGUCCGUCGUGAAGAGGGAAACAACCCAGACCGCCGGCUAAGGUCCCAAAGUUCUGGUUAAGUGGGAAACGAUGUGGGAAGGCUCAGACAGCUAGGAUGUUGGCUUAGAAGCAGCCAUCAUUUAAAGAAAGCGUAAUAGCUCACUAGUCGAGUCGGCCUGCGCGGAAGAUGUAACGGGGCUCAAACCAGGCACCGAAGCCGCGGAUUCACACUAAGUGUGAGUGGUAGGGGAGCGUUCUGUAAGUCUGCGAAGGUGUGUCGAGAGGCAUGCUGGAGAUAUCAGAAGUGCGAAUGCUGACGUAAGUAACGAUAAAGGGGGUGAAAAGCCUCCUCGCCGGAAGACCAAGGGUUCCUGUCCAACGU
rnacentral:rRNA from 1 species